GCAUCCCACCCGUUCCCAUCUCGAACACGGUCGUAAAGACUGCUCGCGGCGACGAUACUUGGAGGGAGACCUCCUGGCAAAAUAGCUAGUUGCCU
rnacentral:rRNA from 1 species